rnacentral:snRNA from 1 species
GGAUCAGUGUAUUGCUCUUUGCUUUGUAAAGCACCUCACUGAUCACCAGGAUUGACUGGGCUGAUCUGACUGGUUAGGCGGGUGCCCCCUUUCUCCCUCAACACUCCAUGUGCGUCCCUCCUGAAGCUGCAGGCUUGGUUGAAGAGGACGACCGUCCCCGAUAGAGGAGGACCGUUCCUCAGUCCUCACAAGUAUACGAGAAGCUGUGCUCCCCUGCUAGAACCUCCAAACAAGUUCUCAAAACUAAGCCAAUUUAGGAACUUAGAGCAUUCUUGAGGAAUUGUGGUGUGCUACUUCUCGAAAGAAAUGUGCCUAAGUUAGCCAUGGGAAUGCCAAAAUAGAU